GUCUUUUUGAUUAUAAUUUAAGGUUUAAUCUGCUCAAUGAUUUAUUAAAUUGCCGCAGUAUUUUGACUGUGCAAAGGUAGCAUAAUAAUUAGCUUUUUAAUUGGAAGCUGGAAUGAAUGAUUGGACGAGAUAAUUUCUGUCUCUUUAUUAUUUAUUAUUUAAUUUAACUUUUAAGUUAAAAGGCUUAAAUUUUUUUAAAAGACGAGAAGACCCUAUAGAGUUUUAUUUUUAUUUUUUUAAUUUAUUUUUGGGAUUUUAAGUAUUUUAUUAAAUGAUAAAUUUAGUUGGGGUGACUAAAAGAUUAAUUUAACUCUUUUAAUUAUAAUCAUUUAUUUAUGAAUAAUAAAAUUAUUUUUAUAAAUUUAAAAUAAAUUACCUUAGGGAUAACAGCGUUAUUUUUCUUUAUAGUUCUUAUAGAAAGGAAAGAUUGCGACCUCGAUGUUGGAUUAAAAUUUAUUUUGGGUGUAGAAGCUUGAAUAUUAAGUCUGUUCGACUUUUAAAA
rnacentral:rRNA from 1 species